UACGUAGGGGGCUAGCGUUGUCCGGAAUUAUUGGGCGUAAAGAGCGUGUAGGCGGCCCGGUAAGUCCGCUGUAAAAGUCAAAGGCUCAACCUUUGAAUGUCAGUGGAUACUGCCGGGCUAGAGUCCGGAAGAGGCGAGUGGAACUCCUGGUGUAGCGGUGGAAUGCGCAGAUAUCAGGAAGAACACCAACGGCGAAGGCAGCUCGCUGGGACGGUACUGACGCUGAGACGCGAAAGCGUGGGGAGCGAACAGG
rnacentral:rRNA from 1 species